ensembl:lncRNA
UAAACCACGAUGGGGAAGGCAUGGGACAGACCUGGUCUGACACCGUGGGCCACAUUAGGAGUUUAGCCUGGAGCUCCUCCUGGAGUGGGGUGGAAAUGGGAUAGGAUGAGAUGGGAUGGUGUGGAGAAGCUUGAGGGCUGCUCUCAGCGAUGCACAAACGACCAUUCCUCCUGUGUUUCAUGGAUCAGGACAAGAGCAGAAGAAGCAUAAACGUGCCCGGCAUUUUACAGGAGAUGAACUUUUUGGAUGAAUGGGUAAAGUAACCCUUUGGAAAUAGGCCAUUUGAUAGUUAAGACACCAAGCCUUAGAAGAAGUUAAACGUCUGGUCUUUUCAUUGCCUUGUUUUGGAGAUAUGCCAGGCUUGGACCUAAGUCUCCUAAAGUCGAAACGGCUGCAGGAUCAUCCCCAUCCCCACACAUAAUCAGUUGUUCCAAGAUUGAGAACAAGGAAUCUGAUGCUCCACGUGAGCCUGGGGUUUCAAUUCCUAGUGCUACAACAAACCAAAACAACCACAAAAACCAACAACCAAAACAGAACAACAGUCCCAAGCCAGCCAAACAAACAAGUUCUGCCGUGUAUGUAUUUGUGGUUGAGUUUUCACACUAAGUCUGUUAUGGGAGACCCUGGCAAGGAGGAAUCCAGUUAAAUUUGAAUUUUAAGUAAAUCCCAAGCAAUCUCCGGAUAUGCUUGUGAUAAAACUUUUUGCCAUUGUUGUGUAUCUAAAAUUCAAAUUUGACUGAGCCGUCUGUAUUUUAUUUGCUGAAUCUGACAGCCCUACAUCUUCUGCAAAGCAAGGCUGUUCUUUCUGAUAACCUGAUGUAGCUAUGAAGCCUGUGAUCAUCUAACUGCAGGCCUGACCUCUACCUGAGUUUGUCUCCUCCAGGAAGUUUGCAAGUGUCAAAGUCUCCAGCUGGUGCCAAGAGGUGGAUGGAGAUGAGGAAUGAAGACUGGAAAUUAGAUCCAAAUAUUUGUGGAGACCACAAACUUUCCAAACCUGAAAACUCUAAAGGGCCUCAUUUAUAGCACAUGACUUUUUUAGAAUAGAAUAGAAACGUUUGAUGACUUCCUAUGCAGACAUUCUAAGUUGGUUCACUCAUUUAUCUAAGGAUACUUUAUUCUUUCAAAGUACAGUAUCAUACAAGUGCCUUGUAAAACUUCAAGCAAGUCAGACAUUCAUAAGUCAGCAAGACUUAAUUCAUAAAAUUAAGUCAUUGCAGACACGACUGCUUUUUAACUACUUCAAGUAUAUCCUUUCAGGAUCUCUUAUUUAUAAAAAACAUAUAAGUCACACAUAACCUGACACACAUUGCUUGCUUCUUUCUUCCUUCUUCUUUUCCCCCUUCUCUCCUACCUCCACCCCCCACUAUUUUUUGUUUUUUUUAGAAAGGGUCUCCUAUAGCCUUGAAUUCAAAUUUGGUAUGUGAGAAGACCUGGAACUUCUGGUCUUUCUUCUGCUUCCACUUCUCAAGUGCUAGGAUUUUAAUAGGUUUUGUGCCUCCAUGCCCAGUGCUGGGUGGUGCUGGGGAUUGAACCCAGGGCUUUAUGCAUGCUAAAUAGGCGCUGUACUAAUGGAUUUAUAGCUCUAGCCCCCAUAAUAAUUUUGUUUCUUACUUAAUAAGGUAUCAUGAGAAUUUAACUGAGUAAUUAUAGGUAGCCCUAGCUCAUUCUUUCUAACAAAUGUACAACAUUUCAUUGUAUGGAUAUAUCACAAAUUAUUAGUAUUUGUUUAAUCUCAGGCAUAAUGAAAUUUGAGUUGAUUUAGAAACUAGUGCUAGCUGCCUGCUGAUUCCAGAAGGUUCUCUUGCUUGCUUACAUUUACCCUUCUUGCCCAGCAGCACACCUGGAGUCUUUGCUUGCCUUCCUGGGCCUAACAUUCGUCCCUAGCUGUUGGCUAUCAUCUCUUAGAUCAAGCAAGAGGUGACCAUAUGUGAAUUUGGUCUUUCUUCUAGGAUAAUGUUUUUUUGUUUGUUUGUUUUGUUUUGUUUUUGUUUGUUGAGACAUAUUUUCUCUGUAGCUUGGGAGCCUGUCCUAUAACUUGCUCUGUAGACCAGACUGGCCUUGUACUCACAGAGAUCCACCUGUCUCUGCCUCCUGAGUGCUGGGAUUAAAGGUGUGAACCACCACCAGGAUAAUCUUUUUGUACACUGUGAAGAUGUAUGUCUGCUAAGGCACCUUCUGAUUAGUUUUUAAGAAGAGUGGAAUGGCCAAUAGCUGGGCAGGAGAAGAUAGCGAACUUCUGGGAAGAGAGAGGAACUCUGGGGAAGAAUCUGAGAGGUGGGGAAUUCACCAGUGAGACAUGGAGGAAGUUGAAUGUACGAUACUGAGGAGAGGUAACGAGCUAUGUGACAGAAUGUAGAUUAAUAUAAAUGGGCUAAUUUAAGUUUUAAGAGCUAGUUGGGAACAAGCCUAAGCUAUGGACAAACUUUCAUAUUUAAUAAGAAGUCGCCAUGUCAUUAUUUGGGAGCUGGCAGUGCAAAGAAAGUCUGACUAUACUUAGUAUUACUUAUUUUUCUAUAGCUGUGAUAAAACACGUUGUUCAAUUCAACUUAUAGAUUUAUAACCCCAUACCUGGCUCAUGAACUUAUUUUUGAAACUAAGCAUAUUUAUGGAAUCACUUAGAAAUUAGUUUUGUUUUCUGAUGAAAUAUAUGUUGCAGUGGCUGUCUAGAAUCUUCCCAUUUCUAUCAUUUAAAACUAUUUAUGGUGAAAAACAGUUCAGAAAGAAAAUUCUAUAGGAAUAACCAUAGUUUAUUCAAAUACUAUAAAUGUGACACCCAUGAACCAUUACUCUGAUUAAGAAACAGGAUAUAUUGAUACUCCAGUUCUUUUCUGUUAGUCACAAUUUCCACUGCUGUAGGGCACCACCAUCCUAAUGCUACUGCAAAUAUCUUCCUUAUUGUUUCCUUCCCUCCCUCUCUCCCUUCCUCCCUUCCUCCCUCUCUCUCUCCCUCUCUCCUUCCUCCCUCCCUUCCUCUCUUUUUCCCCUGUGGUGAUGGAGAUUAAAUCUAGGGCCUAUAUGAUAGAUAAGUACACCACCACUGUUUGUGACAAAGUCUUCAGUUACCCUGGAUGGUCCUCAGACUGACUGUGUAAGCAAAGUUGACCUUGAACUUCUGAUUCUUGUCUACUUUCCACGUGCUGAGAGUACAGGCAUAUACUACUACACAUGGUUUGGCCCUUGAGUUUUUUGAGACAGGAUCUCCUUAUGUAGGCAGGCUGGCCUCAACUCCUCAAGCCUCCUGCUUCUGACUCCUAAAUGCUGGAAUUAUAGGAGUGAACCAUUGUGCCCAGUUUAUGUAGUGCUAGGAACCAAAUUCAGGCCUCUGUACGUGCUAAACAGGUACUGUCCACUGAGCUAUACCCCCAACCUUUGCUUUGAAGUUUGUAUCACAGGUACCCUAGAUACCUGACUUUUCUCACUGAAAAUUACACUUUUAUGCAUGCAUGUUCAUGCACAAACAUGUGUGUAAAUGGACAUAUGCUUUUGUGACAUGCACAUCAAGACCAAAGGACAACUUAAGAUGUUGUUCCUAAGGAACCAUGCGUCUUUCCUUGCCAGCUUGCAACUUUCUAGCUUAGCUGCCUGGCUGGUGAGCUCUGUGAUCAUCAUGUUUCUCCCUUCCUAGUGCUAGGAUUACAAGCAUGUACCUCCAAACUGGGUUCAUUCUUAAAUUAUUUUCUCUCUUUUCUUUUAAAAAAUUAAUUAGUGUGUGUGUGUGUGUGUGUGUGUGUGUGUGUGUAUGCUUGUAAUGUGUGUUUGGAUGUCUGCAGAGAGCAGAAGAGGGCACCAGAAUCUACUGGGCCUGGAGCUACAGGUAGUUAUGAACUGUCCACAUGAAUGCUGGGGACCAAACUUGGGUCCUGAGGACAACUUGAAGGAGUUAAUGCUCUUCUACCAGGUGUAUCUUAGGGAUCAAACUCAGGUCAUUAGUCUUGGCAGCGAGCUCCUUUGCCCCAUUGAUCCGUAAUUGGCCCCAUGCCCAUUUUUAAAAAGUGGUUUCUGGGGAUUGAAGUCAGGCCCUCAGAUCUGCAAGGCAAGCACAUUACCAACAGAGCCAUCUCCAAGCUAGCUUGGCUGCCUCAAAAAAAAAAAAAAAAAUCAACGAUUACAGCAUGUGGCUGUGGUCUAUUUUCAUUUCUGCAUAGUUUGCAGUUACAUUUCUUAUUUUCAAAUUUGAAAAAGUAAAAUCUCACUGUUUCUCAGGCUGGCCUUCAUCUUCUGUACUCAGCCUUCCUGCUUCAGCCUGCCUCGGAGCUGGGACUGGUGCAUGCCAUCCGUUACAUCUUGUUAGUUUUCAGUUAUUUUAGUGUUCCGUAAUUCUAUCUGUUCUACUGUUGAUAGAUAUUUGGGUUGCUUCCAAUUGCAGUCUGUUUCUCGAAGUUCUACUCUAACCUAAUUGUCUUCAGCCUGUUUCUUUAGGGCUUCUACACAGGGUCAUCAUGGCUAAGAGACUAACAUUUUCUAAGGUGUCUUUACCAGUGUGUAGACUCUCCCAGUUUACAAAAGUAUUGUGAUCAUUCUUUUUAUUUUUUCCCUCCCCUUCGUUUUAUUUAUUUGUCUCAGGCUGGCCUCGAACUCCAAAUCCUCCUGCUUCUACCCGUUAAGUGCUGGGAUAGUCACAGUCUAUCACUCCACCCGGAUAAAUUUGUUUGUAUUUUGAGAUGUCUCUCAAGGCAGGAUUUCUCAGUGUAGCCGUGGAUGCCAAACUAAUCUCAAACUGGAGAUUUCCCUGCCCCGGCCUCUCCAGUGCAGGCAUAUGCCACCUCAUCUGAUGUUAAUCAUGGCGAAUUUUAUAUCUUCACUUGGUUAUGCCAGCGUUCUGCUACUUCUUAAACAUCCUGGAGCAGUCUAUAAGACUAAUUUUUAAAUUAGUUUUAAAUAUGUUUAUUUCGAGGCAGGGUCUCACUGUGUAGCACUAGUUGGCCUGGAACUUGCUAUGUACACCAAGGUGGCCUUGAACUCACAGAGUUCCACCUGCCUCUGCCUCACAGUGCUUGGACUAAAGGCAUGCAUCAUCAGGCCUGGGUUAUUUAUUUAUUUAUAUGAUUAUUAUUAUUUAUGUGUGUGUGUAUGCACCAUGUGUGUGCCACAUAUGUGCCACGUAUGUACCAUGUGUGUGUCACGUGUGUGCAGGUGCCCACAGAGAGCCGGAGAGGAUGUCUGCCUGGAGCUGUAGUUACGGUCAGUUGUAAGCUGCCCCAUGUGGGUCCUGAGAACUGAAUCCAGUCCUCUGGAAAACAAGUUCUUUUAACUGCUGAGCCACCUCUCCAGCCUGUUUUUUUUUUUUUUAAUUUUUUUUUUUGGAGGGGUUUUCGAGACAGGGUUUUUUUUAUUUUUAUUAUGUUUGUUUAUUUAUUUAUUUGUGUGUACAUGCAAAGACUGUUUGUUUCCUUCUGCCAAUGUUGAUCACAGGGACGAAAUGACCCACUGAACCAUCUAGUCCAGGGUGGUUUUUGGAUGAGCUUCACAUCUGAGGAAAUCAAGUUGCCCUCCAUGACGCAAGAGGGUCUCGCCCAGUCAGCUGAGGUACUAAUAGAACAACCCCCACAUGCCCAUCUUUCCAGCAAAGAGGAAUUUUGCCAGGAGACUGCUUUUGGAUUAGCUUCCACAGUCACAUGAGCCAAUUCCUUAAAAUAAAUUUCUUUUCUAUAUAUACACACCCUGUUGGUUUUGCUUUUCUGGAGAAACAUGACUAAUACAGGCCAGACACUGAGGCUCAAUAUUAUGUGCUGCUCUGACAGCUGGAGAACAUCAGGGCGCUUCAAAGACUUGUGGCCACAUUCCCUUCCCUCUGCUCCCUGGGAUACGGCCUUCAGCUGAUAGCCUUUCUUGUCAAGGCUAUCAGGUACAUUCCUGCUUAUCAGUGAGAACUGGGUUUCAGGUCCCUGGCAGCCUGGAGAAUUAGCCAAACAAGAGCCAUCCCAGGCUCUCGUUAUGAUGCCUGAAUCCCCCCACCACCCCUAUGUUUAUUCUGUUCCUGAGACUUCAGCCCCUGUGUGGUCCACUGUGACAUGUGUUAUUUUCAUCCACGAGAAUAGCAUAUAUGUGGCUAAUUAACCACAACUCAUUUUAUUUGUUCAGUGUCUGGUAGUAUAUGUUAGAUCAUCCUCUAACUAUAGGAUGAGAAUCUCUCAUCCCCAGGGUGAACAGGAGAGGAAUAGCUACUAUUUCUUG